GACGAACGCUGUCGGCGUGCUUAACACAUGCAAGUCGAACGGAAAGGCCCUGCUUUUGUGGGGUGCUCGAGUGGCGAACGGGUGAGUAACACGUGAGUAACCUGCCCUUGACUUUGGGAUAACUUCAGGAAACUGGGGCUAAUACCGGAUAGGAGCUCCUGCUGCAUGGUGGGGGUUGGAAAGUUUCGGCGGUUGGGGAUGGACUCGCGGCUUAUCAGCUUGUUGGUGGGGUAGUGGCUUACCAAGGCUUUGACGGGUAGCCGGCCUGAGAGGGUGACCGGCCACAUUGGGACUGAGAUACGGCCCAGACUCCUACGGGAGGCAGCAGUGGGGAAUAUUGCACAAUGGGCGGAAGCCUGAUGCAGCAACGCCGCGUGCGGGAUGACGGCCUUCGGGUUGUAAACCGCUUUCGCCUGUGACGAAGCGUGAGUGACGGUAAUGGGUAAAGAAGCACCGGCUAACUACGUGCCAGCAGCCGCGGUGAUACGUAGGGUGCGAGCGUUGUCCGGAUUUAUUGGGCGUAAAGGGCUCGUAGGUGGUUGAUCGCGUCGGAAGUGUAAUCUUGGGGCUUAACCCUGAGCGUGCUUUCGAUACGGGUUGACUUGAGGAAGGUAGGGGAGAAUGGAAUUCCUGGUGGAGCGGUGGAAUGCGCAGAUAUCAGGAGGAACACCAGUGGCGAAGGCGGUUCUCUGGGCCUUUCCUGACGCUGAGGAGCGAAAGCGUGGGGAGCGAACAGGCUUAGAUACCCUGGUAGUCCACGCUGUAAACGGUGGGUACUAGGUGUGGGGUCCAUUCCACGGGUUCCGUGCCGUAGCUAACGCUUUAAGUACCCCGCCUGGGGAGUACGGCCGCAAGGCUAAAACUCAAAGGAAUUGACGGGGCCCCGCACAAGCGGCGGAGCAUGCGGAUUAAUUCGAUGCAACGCGUAGAACCUUACCUGGGUUUGACAUGGAUCGGGAGUGCUCAGAGAUGGGUGUGCCUCUUUUGGGGUCGGUUCACAGGUGGUGCAUGCCUGUCGUCAGCUCGUGUCGUGAGAUGUUGGGUUAAGUCCCGCAACGAGCGCAACCCUUGUUCACUGUUGCCAGCACGUUAUGGUGGGGACUCAGUGGAGACCGCCGGGGUCAACUCGGAGGAAGGUGGGGAUGACGUCAAGUCAUCAUGCCCCUUAUGUCCAGGGCUUCACGCAUGCUACAAUGGCUGGUACAGAGAGUGGCGAGCCUGUGAGGGUGAGCGAAUCUCGGAAAGCCGGUCUCAGUUCGGAUUGGGGUCUGCAACUCGACCUCAUGAAGUCGGAGUCGCUAGUAAUCGCAGAUCAGCAACGCUGCGGUGAAUACGUUCCCGGG
rnacentral:rRNA from 1 species